UACGUAGGGUGCGAGCGUUAAUAGGAAUUACUGGGCGUAAAGGGUGCGUAGGCGGUUCGUUAAGUCUGUCGUGAAAUCCCCGGGCUCAACCUGGGAAUGGCGAUGGAUACUGGCGAGCUAGAGUGUGUCAGAGGAUGGUGGAAUUCCCGGUGUAGCGGUGAAAUGCGUAGAGAUCGGGAGGAACAUCAGUGGCGAAGGCGGCCAUCUGGGACAACACUGACGCUGAAGCACGAAAGCGUGGGGAGCAAACAGG
rnacentral:rRNA from 1 species